rnacentral:rRNA from 1 species
AGUCGUACGGUAGCACAGAGAGCGUGCUCUCGGGUGACGAGUGGCGGACGGGUGAGUAAUGUCUGGGAAACUGCCUGAUGGAGGGGGAUAACUACUGGAAACGGUAGCUAAUACCGCAUAACGUCGCAAGACCAAAGAGGGGGACCUUCGGGCCUCUUGCCGUCAGAUGUGCCCAGAUGGGAUUAGCUAGUAGGUGGGGUAACGGCUCACCUAGGCGACGAUCCCUAGCUGGUCUGAGAGGAUGACCAGCCACACUGGAACUGAGACACGGUCCAGACUCCUACGGGAGGCAGCAGUGGGGAAUAUUGCACAAUGGGCGCAAGCCUGAUGCAGCCAUGCCGCGUGUAUGAAGAAGGCCUUCGGGUUGUAAAGUACUUUCAGCGGGGAGGAAGGCGUUGUGGUUAAUAACCACAGCGAUUGACGUUACCCGCAGAAGAAGCACCGGCUAACUCCGUGCCAGCAGCCGCGGUAAUACGGAGGGUGCAAGCGUUAAUCGGAAUUACUGGGCGUAAAGCGCACGCAGGCGGUCUGUCAAGUCGGAUGUGAAAUCCCCGGGCUCAACCUGGGAACUGCAUUCGAAACUGGCAGGCUAGAGUCUUGUAGAGGGGGGUAGAAUUCCAGGUGUAGCUGUGAAAUGCGUAGAGAUCUAGAGGAAUGCCGGUGUCGAAGGCGGC